CCUACGGGAGGCUGCAGUGGGGAAUAUUGGGCAAUGGGCGCAAGCCUGACCCAGCAACGCCGCGUGAAGGAAGAAGGCUUUCGGGUUGUAAACUUCUUUUCUGAGGGACGAAGAAAGUGACGGUACCUCAUGAAUAAGCCACGGCUAACUACGUGCCAGCAGCCGCGGUAAUACGUAGGUGGCAAGCGUUAUCCGGAUUUAUUGGGUGUAAAGGGCGGGUAGGCGGGACAGCAAGUCAGAUGUAAAAACGCAGGGCUCAACCCUGGGCCUGCAUUUGAAACUGUUUUGCUUGAGUGCUGGAGAGGCAGUCGGAAUUCCGUGUGUAGCGGUGAAAUGCGUAGAUAUACGGAGGAACACCAGUGGCGAAGGCGGAUUGCUGGACAGUAACUGACGCUGAGGCGCGAAAGCGUGGGGAGCAAACAGGAUUAGAUACCCGGGUAGUC
rnacentral:rRNA from 1 species